rnacentral:lncRNA from 1 species
GGGGACGGAUAGGGCCGGAGUCUUCACACCUACACAAGCUCUGCCCACCCCCUGCUCCGCCCCUCACACAGGUGGAUUCAGAACUCCUCAGCCUCCCACAACCGGAGGGGACGAACGGGGCCAGAGUCCUCAGGCCUACGCAAGCUCUGCCCACCCCCCGCCAGGCCCCCCACAGAAGGAGCCUCUAGUGCUCAGCUGCUGCACAGAACGGCGCUUAGUUGUGCAAAGAGAAUUUCCAUUUGCAGUCAGUAGCAAUUAGAAACAUGAACACCCUCACACAGACGCACCGAGAGUGGUCAUUCAGGGAGACA